rnacentral:rRNA from 1 species
GUCCACGCCGUAAACGAUGAGCACUAGGUGUCGGGCCGCAGGGAUUCGGUGCCGCAGUUAACGCAUUAAGUGCUCCGCCUGGGGAGUACGCACGCAAGUGUGAAACUCAAAGGAAUUGACGGGGACCCGCACAAGCAGCGGAGCAUGUGGUUUAAUUCGAAGCAACGCGAAGAACCUUACCAGGACUUGACAUCCCUCUGACAUCCCUUUAAUCGGGGAUUUCUUCGGACGGAGGAGACAGGUGGUGCAUGGUUGUCGU